rnacentral:rRNA from 1 species
GCCGCGGUAUUCCUGACCGUGCGAAGGUAGCAUAAUCAUUAGUCUUUUAAUUGGAGGCUCGUAUGAAUGGUUGGACGAAAAAUAAUCUGUCUCUUAGCUGAAAAUUGAAUUUAACAUUUAAGUGAAAAGGCUUAAAUAUAGUAAAAAGACGAUAAGACCCUAUAAAUCUUUACAUUAUCUUAAGGUUUAAGGCUAAAUAUAAGUAAAAUGUUUUUAAAUUUUUUAUAAUGUUUUGUUGGGGCAACAUGAAUAGCAAUAUUUAUCUGUUUAUAAAAGUUACAAGAAAUUUUUGAGUGUAUAAAAAUAAGAUCCUUCUUAGAGAUUACAAGAUUAAGUUACUUUAGGGAUAACAGCGUUAUUUUACUUGAGAGUUCUUAUCGAAAGUAAAGUUUGCGACCUCGAUGUUGAAUUAAAAUUUCUUUAUGGUGUAGCCGCUAUAGAAGAGAGUCUGUUCGACUU